UACGUAGGUGGCAAGCGUUGUCCGGAUUUACUGGGCGUAAAGAGCGUGUAGGCGGCCGUACAGGUCAGCUGUGAAAACUCGAGGCUCAACCUCGAGACGUCGGUUGAAACCGUACGGCUAGAGUCCGGAAGAGGAGAGUGGAAUUCCCGGUGUAGCGGUGAAAUGCGCAGAUAUCGGGAAGAACACCCGUGGCGAAGGCGGCUCUCUGGGACGGUACUGACGCUGAGACGCGAAAGCGUGGGGAGCGAACAGG
rnacentral:rRNA from 1 species